UACGAAGGGGGCUAGCGUUGCUCGGAAUCACUGGGCGUAAAGGGCGCGUAGGCGGCGUUUAAGUCGGGGGUGAAAGCCUGUGGCUCAACCACAGAAUGGCCUCGAUACUGGGACGCUUGAGUAUGGUAGAGGUUGGUGGAAUUCCGAGUGUAGAGGUGAAAUUCGUAGAUAUUCGGAAGAACACCAGUGGCGAAGGCGACUUACUGGACACGUAUUGACGCUGAGGUGCGAAAGCGUGGGGAGCAAACAGG
rnacentral:rRNA from 1 species